CCUACGGGAGGCAGCAGUGGGGAAUUUUGGACAAUGGGCGAAAGCCUGAUCCAGCAAUGCCGCGUGAGUGAAGAAGGCCUUCGGGUUGUAAAGCUCUUUUGUCAGGGAAGAAACGGUGAGGGCUAAUAUCUCUUGCUAAUGACGGUACCUGAAGAAUAAGCACCGGCUAACUACGUGCCAGCAGCCGCGGUAAUACGUAGGGUGCAAGCGUUAAUCGGAAUUACUGGGCGUAAAGCGUGCGCAGGCGGUUUUGUAAGUCUGUCGUGAAAUCCCCGGGCUCAACCUGGGAAUUGCGAUGGAGACUGCAAGGCUAGAAUCUGGCAGAGGGGGGUAGAAUUCCACGUGUAGCAGUGAAAUGCGUAGAGAUGUGGAGGAACACCGAUGGCGAAGGCAGCCCCCUGGGUCAAGAUUGACGCUCAUGCACGAAAGCGUGGGGAGCAAACAGGAUUAGAUACCCUGGUAGUCCACGCCCUAAACGAUGUCUACUAGUUGUCGGGUUUUAAUAACUUGGUAACGCAGCUAACGCGUGAAGUAGACCGCCUGGGGAGUACGGUCGCAAGNUUAAAACUCAAAGGAAUUGACCGGNUGAGAGNGACGACGACGACGACGAGGAGGAGG
rnacentral:rRNA from 1 species